rnacentral:rRNA from 1 species
UACGGGGGGGGGUAAGCGUUGUUCGGAAUUACUGGGCGUAAAGGGCUCGUAGGCGGCCAACUAAGUCGGACGUGAAAUCCCUCAGCUUAACUGGGGAACUGCGUCCGAUACUGGAUGGCUUGGAUUUGGGAGAGGGAUGCGGAAUUCCAGGUGUAGCGGUGAAAUGCGUAGAUAUCUGGAGGAAUACCGGUGGCGAAGGCGGCAUCCUGGACCGACAUUGACGCUGAACGGCGAAAGCCAGGGGAGCAAACGGG